UACGGGAGAUGGGAGACAGAGUGAGGUUGGAGAAGGGAGGGGUAGGGAGGGGAAGAAGGGAAGGCUUCUGAGGAUGGGAGGCCGGGAGCAAAGACAGGGAUGGAGGGAGGGGCGAGUCCUCUGAAGCCCUAGGUGGAGAACAGCCCACACCCAGCGCACUUGCUCUUCGCAUUUUCAUCUCCCCCAACAAUCUGUGCGUCCAACCUCUAGGAUUUAUUCCAGAGCCAGAUUGGCACUAGGGUUUUCUCCAAGGGCAGGUCAUCCCGCUGCUUACAAAACCUGUUGAAAAGGCUUCUGGGGCCCAUCCAGGCAAAGCAGAAAAGCCUGCCCCAUGUGGCAGGAGCUCCAGAAUUUUGUGAUCCUUGCCUGUUAGGCACCUUGACAGCCAACUGGAUAUCCAGCCACUGCAUAACCACCUUCUGGACCCAGGAAACUGUUUCCCCAAACCACCUCCCCCACUGUGGUCCUCUCACAGAAUGGAAAACAGUCUACAAAGCUCAUAAUGGCCUUUUGCAUCUUAUCAGUUACCACUGCAGGCUAAAAUAUCUCCAAUUACUUUCGAUGCCUCUCAUGGUGCACUAGUGAAGACUGGCUCUGGAAUCAGGACAACCAGGAUCCAACGACAUUACAUCACCUGUGCACAAGUGACUUAACCUUCUGAAUGUUGGUGUUCUAUCUGUGUGACAUGGGACACUUAUGAUACCAUCCCAUUGAGUUGUUAUAAGCAGCUUAAAUAAUAUAAUAAAUGUAAGUACCUAGCACUCUGGGGUAGGAGUGGAAAGGGGGUGAUUCCUUUUCUUCCCAUUAUAAGGGUCACAGCCAAUCUCCCUAUAACAAAAGACAGGUUCACAAGAUUAAAACAUAACCAAUUUAUAUGAUCAUCGUUUCACGUGAUGUGAGAACCUUCAGAAUGGAGACCCUAAUGUACAGGGAAAACUACCUAUGUUCAUGCUCAGGUCCAGUGAUGAAUAAAUAGAAAAGUGUAGAACUGUGAUUGGACAAAAGGGUGUGAUCUAAUACAGAUCAACUGAGCAAGGAAACUCAGCAAGCCCUUUCUGCUCAGAUUCUUCUUGGCCUCUCUUAUGCAGCCUUCCUUCCUUCCGGGUGUGGGGCAGGACCCUUUCUGAAAUAGGGGUCUUAUGACUUGCAAUCAAACAAGAUAGGCCAGAGAAUUUCUUCACGGCCAGUUCUUACACAGAAAAGCAGGGAAAAGUUAGAGUAAUAUUUUUAGGUUUUAUGGCUGGCUUUGGGGAAAAGGGGAUCUGGUUUCUAUAAUCCACCUUGAAGAAUAGGAAUUCUACUUUCUAUGGCUA
rnacentral:lncRNA from 1 species